GUAGGUGGCAAGCGUUGUCCGGAAUCAUUGGGCGUAAAGCGCGCGCAGGCGGUCCUUUAAGUCUGAUGUGAAAGCCCACGGCUCAACCGUGGAGGGUCAUUGGAAACUGGGGGACUUGAGUACAGAAGAGGAAAGCGGAAUUCCAAGUGUAGCGGUGAAAUGCGUAGAGAUUUGGAGGAACACCAGUGGCGAAGGCGGCUUUCUGGUCUGUAACUGACGCUGAGGCGCGAAAGCGUGGGGAGCAAACAGGGAUUAGAUACCCUGGUAGUCCACGCCGUAAACGAUGAGUGCUAAGUGUUAGGGGGUUUCCCGCCCCUUAGUGCUGCAGCUAACGCAUUAAGCACUCCGCCUGGGGAGUACGGCCGCAAGGCUG
rnacentral:rRNA from 1 species